GACGUAGGUUGCGAGCGUUAUUCGGAUUCACUAGGCGUAAAGCGUGUGUAGGCGGAUGCCUAAGUCUGACGUGAAAUCUCCCGGCUUAACUGGGAGGGGUCGUUAGAUACUGGGUGUCUUGAGUUGGGUAGGGGGAACCGGAAUUCCAGGUGUAGCGGUGAAAUGCGCAGAUAUCUGGAAGAACACCCGUGGCGAAGGCGGCUCUCUGGGACGGUACUGACGCUGAGACGCGAAAGCGUGGGGAGCGAACAGG
rnacentral:rRNA from 1 species